CCUACGGGAGGCAGCAGUGAGGAAUAUUGGUCAAUGGCCGGAAGGCUGAACCAGCCAAGCCGCGUGAGGGAGGAAGGCGCAGAGCGUCGCAGACCUCUUUUGCCGGGGGACAAAAGGCCGGACUCGUCCGGUCCUGAGGGUACCCGGAGAAAAAGCAUCGGCUAACUCCGUGCCAGCAGCCGCGGUAAUACGGAGGAUGCGAGCGUUAUCCGGAUUUAUUGGGUUUAAAGGGUGCGUAGGCGGAAGGUUAAGUCAGCGGUCAAAUGUCGGUGCUCAACACCGGCCUGCCGUUGAAACUGGUCUUCUUGAGUGAGCGAGAAGUAUGCGGAAUGCGUGGUGUAGCGGUGAAAUGCAUAGAUAUCACGCAGAACUCCGAUUGCGAAGGCAGCUUGCUGCAGCGGAACUGACGCUGAUGCUCGAAAGCGCGGGUAUCGAACAGGAUUAGAUACCCGGGUAGUC
rnacentral:rRNA from 1 species